AACGAACGCUGGCGGCAUGCCUAACACAUGCAAGUCGAACGAGAUCUUCAGGUCUAGUGACGCACGGGUGCGUAACGCGUGGGAAUCUGCCCUUUGGUUCGGAAUAACAGUUGGAAACGACUGCUAAUACCGGAUGAUGACGAAAGUCCAAAGAUUUAUCGCCAGAGGAUGAGCCCGCGUAGGAUUAGCUAGUUGGUGUGGUAAAGGCACACCAAGGCGACGAUCCUUAGCUGGGCUGAGAGGAUGAUCAGCCACACUGGGACUGAGACACGGCCCAGACUCCUACGGGAGGCAGCAGUGGGGAAUAUUGGACAAUGGGCGAAAGCCUGAUCCAGCAAUGCCGCGUGAGUGAUGAAGGCCUUAGGGUUGUAAAGCUCUUUUACCCGGGAUGAUAAUGACAGUACCGGGAGAAUAAGCUCCGGCUAACUCCGUGCCAGCAGCCGCCGCCG
rnacentral:rRNA from 1 species